rnacentral:rRNA from 1 species
UUAAGUUAAUAAGGGCGCACGGUGGAUGCCUUGGCACUAGAAGCCGAUGAAGGACGUGACUAACGACGAAAUGCUUUGGGGAGUUGUAAGUAAACAUUGAUCCAGAGAUGUCCGAAUGGGGGAACCCGGCAUGUGAAGCAUGUCACUCAUUACUGUUAAGGUAAUGAAGAGGAAGACGCAGUGAACUGAAACAUCUAAGUAGCUGCAGGAAGAGAAAGCAAACGCGAUUGCCUUAGUAGCGGCGAGCGAAACGGCAAGAGGGCAAACCGAUGUGUUUACACAUCGGGGUUGUAGGACUGCGUUGUGGGACGCAAGAUUAUAGAAGAAUUACCUGGGAAGGUAAGCCAAAGAGAGUAAUAGCCUCGUAUUCGAAAUAGUCUUUAUACCUAGCAGUAUCCUGAGUACGGCGAGACACGAGAAAUCUCGUCGGAAUCUGGGAGGACCAUCUCCCAACCCUAAAUACUCUCUAGUGACCGAUAGUGAACCAGUACCGUGAGGGAAAGGUGAAAAGCACCCCGGGAGGGGAGUGAAAUAGAACCUGAAACCGUGUGCCUACAACAAGUUCGAGCCCGUUAAUGGGUGAGAGCGUGCCUUUUGUAGAAUGAACCGGCGAGUUACGAUAUGAUGCGAGGUUAAGUUGAAGAGACGGAGCCGUAGGGAAACCGAGUCUUAAUAGGGCGCUUUAGUAUCAUGUCGUAGACCCGAAACCAUGUGACCUACCCAUGAGCAGGGUGAAGGUGAGGUAAAACUCACUGGAGGCCCGAACCAGGGCACGUUGAAAAGUGCUUGGAUGACUUGUGGGUAGCGGAGAAAUUCCAAACGAACUUGGAGAUAGCUGGUUCUCUCCGAAAUAGCUUUAGGGCUAGCGUCGAUGUUAAGUCUCUUGGAGGUAGAGCACUGUUUGAUUGAGGGGUCCAUCCCGGAUUACCAAUAUCAGAUAAACUCCGAAUGCCAAUGAGAUAUAAUCGGCAGUCAGACUGCGAGUGCUAAGAUCCGUAGUCGAAAGGGAAACAGCCCAGACCACCAGCUAAGGUCCCAAAAUAUAUGUUAAGUGGAAAAGGAUGUGGGGUUGCACAGACAACUAGGAUGUUAGCUUAGAAGCAGCUAUUCAUUCAAAGAGUGCGUAAUAGCUCACUAGUCGAGUGACCCUGCGCCGAAAAUGUACCGGGGCUAAAACAUAUUACCGAAGCUGUGGAUACCUAUUAUAGGUAUGGUAGGAGAGCGUUCUAUGUGUGAAGAAGGUGUACCGUGAGGAGCGCUGGAACGCAUAGAAGUGAGAAUGCCGGUAUGAGUAGCGAAAGACAGGUGAGAAUCCUGUCCACCGUAAGACUAAGGUUUCCAGGGGAAGGCUCGUCCGCCCUGGGUUAGUCGGGACCUAAGGAGAGACCGAAAGGUGUAUCCGAUGGCCAACAGGUUGAUAUUCCUGUACUAGAGUAUAUAGUGAAGGAGGGACGCAGUAGGCUAACUAAAGCGUGCGAUUGGAAGAGCACGUCUAAGCAGUGAGGUGUGAUAUGAGUCAAAUGCUUGUAUCUCUAACAUUGAGCUGUGAUGGGGAGCGAAGUUAAGUAGCGAAGUUAGUGAUGUCACACUGCCAAGAAAAGCUUCUAGCGUUAAUUAUACUCUACCCGUACCGCAAACCGACACAGGUAGUCGAGGCGAGUAGCCUCAGGUGAGCGAGAGAACUCUCGUUAAGGAACUCGGCAAAAUGGCCCCGUAACUUCGGGAGAAGGGGCGCUGACUUAUGGUCAGCCGCAGUGAAUAGGCCCAAGCAACUGUUUAUCAAAAACACAGCUCUCUGCUAAAUCGUAAGAUGAUGUAUAGGGGGUGACGCCUGCCCGGUGCUGGAAGGUUAAGAGGAGUGCUUAGCAAUAGCGAAGGUAUGAAUUGAAGCCCCAGUAAACGGCGGCCGUAACUAUAACGGUCCUAAGGUAGCGAAAUUCCUUGUCGGGUAAGUUCC